ACGAGCGCAACCCUCGUUCACUGUUGCCAGCACGUUAUGGUGGGGACUCAGUGGAGACCGCCGGGGUUAACUCGGAGGAAGGUGGGGAUGACGUCAAAUCAUCAUGCCCCUUAUGUCCAGGGCUUCACACAUGCUACAAUGGCCGGUACAAAGAGUUGCGAGCUUGUGAGAGUGAGCGAAUCUCGGAAAGCCGGUCUCAGUUCGGAUUGGGGUCUGCAACUCGACCUCAUGAAGUCGGAGUCGCUAGUAAUCGCAGAUCAGCAACGCUGCGGUGAAUACGUUCCCGGGCCUUGUACACACCGCCCGUCACGUCAUGAAAGUUGGUAACACCCGAAGCCGGUGGCCUAACUGUUGGGGGAGCCGUCGAAGGUGGGACUGGUAAUUAGGACUAAGUCGUAACAAGGUAGCCGUACCGGAAGGUGCGGCUGGAUCACCUCCUUUCUAAGGAG
rnacentral:rRNA from 1 species